GAUGAACGCUGGCGGCGUGCCUAAUACAUGCAAGUCGAGCGAACAGACGAGGAGCUUGCUCCUUUGACGUUAGCGGCGGACGGGUGAGUAACACGUGGGUAACCUACCUAUAAGACUGGGAUAACUUCGGGAAACCGGAGCUAAUACCGGAUAAUAUUUCGAACCGCAUGGUUCGAUAGUGAAAGAUGGCUUUGCUAUCACUUAUAGAUGGACCUGCGCCGUAUUAGCUAGUUGGUAAGGUAACGGCUUACCAAGGCAACGAUACGUAGCCGACCUGAGAGGGUGAUCGGCCACACUGGAACUGAGACACGGUCCAGACUCCUACGGGAGGCAGCAGUAGGGAAUCUUCCGCAAUGGGCGAAAGCCUGACGGAGCAACGCCGCGUGAGUGAUGAAGGUCUUCGGAUCGUAAAACUCUGUUAUUAGGGAAGAACAAACGUGUAAGUAACUGUGCACGUCUUGACGGUACCUAACCAGAAAGCCACGGCUAACUACGUG
rnacentral:rRNA from 1 species